rnacentral:rRNA from 1 species
GUCCGCACCAUAAACGAUGGAUACUUGCCGUUGGAGGUAUUGACCCCUUCAGUGGCGAAGCUAACGCGUUAAGUAUCCCGCCUGGGGAGUACGGUCGCAAGAUUAAAACUCAAAGAAAUUGACGGGGGCCCGCACAAGCGGUGGAGCAUGUGGUUUAAUUCGAUGCAACGCGAAGAACCUUACCUAGAUUUGACAUGUACUGGAAGACUGGCAGAAAUGUCGUCGCCCGCAAGGGCCGGUACACAGGUGCUGCAUGGCUGUCGU